rnacentral:rRNA from 1 species
AAUCAACGCUGGCGGCGUGCCUAACACAUGCAAGUCGCACGAGAAAGCGUGCUUCGGCCUGCGAGCAAAGUGGCGCACGGGUGAGUAACACGUGAAUCAUCUACCUCCGAGUGGGGAAUAACCUAGAGAAAUCUGGGCUAAUACCGCAUAACACAUACGAGUCAAAGCAGCAAUGCGCUUGGAGAGGAGUUCGCGGCAGAUUAGUUAGUUGGCAGGGUAAUGGCCUACCAAGACGAUGAUCUGUAUCCGGCCUGAGAGGGCGCACGGACACACUGGAACUGAAACACGGUCCAGACUCCUACGGGAGGCAGCAGUGGGGAAUUUUGCGCAAUGGGGGAAACCCUGACGCAGCAACGCCGCGUGGAGGAUGAAAUCCCUUGGGAUGUAAACUCCUUUCGAUCGGGACGAUUAUGACGGUACCGGAAGAAGAAGCCCCGGCUAACUUCGUGCCAGCAGCCGCAGUAAAAC